CGAUCUGCUGCGGGCAGAUGAAAUGGAUGUGCGAGUCGAAGCCGCCGGCGGUCAGGAUCUUGCCCUCGCCGGCGAUCGCUUCGGUGCCGGGGCCGAUGACGAUAUCGACGUUCGGCUGGACGUCCGGAUUGCCGGCCUUGCCGAUACCGACGAUGCGGCCGUCCUUGAUGCCGACAUCGGCCUUGACGAUGCCCCAGUGGUCGACGAUCAGCGCGUUGGUGAUGACGGUGUCGACCGCGCCUUCGCCGCGGGCGAACUGGGACUGGCCCAUGCCAUCGCG
rnacentral:sRNA from 1 species